CUAGCUGCGUGAAUUAAUGUGAAUUGCAGAACACAUUGAACAUCGACAUCUUGAACGCACAUGGCGGCCUCGGGUUUACCCCGGGGCCACGCCCGUCUGAGGGUCGGUUUGCUAAAGCGAUCGCUACCUUGCCCGUUUGAAAUUUCCCUAUGAAAAUAGGGAAGUUUCCCGGUAGCGCAUUGGGCCUUCGUGGAUAAGCGGAAACGGUGUCGAGCUCAUCACCAACCAUUUGCUCUCGGUGGGAGGUGUAUGUACGGGCUCGUUAAAGUUUCGCACGUUCUCGUGGCUUCAAGUUCAGGAUGCGCCGUCGUCCUAUCUGUCCUACGAGAUGCUGCUCGCCUCGUCGGUGGUCUCUCGCUGCUCGGCAGGUACCCGGCUCGUGCUUUCAAAACGAGCUGUACGGACCAUGGCCGAGCGUGAAAUGUUCGGGAGAUGGGCCGCAUAGCAGCGAUUCGUACGGGCUAACGGCGCCCCUCGCCCAUACACUUUCAUUAGUGUGGCGUGGUUUUUUUCAUUCUAUCCGACCUCAGAUCGGACGAGAUUACCCGCUGAAUUUAAGCAUAUUACUAAGCGGAGGAAAAGAAACUAACAAGGAUUUCCCUAGUAACGG
rnacentral:rRNA from 1 species